GGGGGCGUCACGGCUUCGACGCGGGUCGCGAAACCGAAGGGGCAUGCCGAGGGGCAGCACACCUCGUAAACACAACUGCAAACCAUAUAGUUGCCAACGACGACAACUACGCACUCGCUGCUUAAAACCCAGUAGGGUGCCGUCCGACUGGAGCCGUGCUUGUGCGUUCAGAUUUCGGGCGUCAUUGCUCACAAGAUCGCGGUGAAGUAAUCCGAGGCGGAUCCGUUAAAACCUCAUCGGAAUCGCUGAUGGCUUUCCCUGCCGGUCGGGUAGCCAUCGGUUAAAUUAAUAGAUUCGGCUAAGCAUGUAGAACCGACGGCAGAGGGCUUGCGGACGCGGGUUCGACUCCCGCCGCCUCCACCA
rnacentral:tmRNA from 2 species